GUUCACUGCCGUACAAGCAGUUUAGAAA
rfam:Triticum urartu cultivar G1812 contig193685, whole genome shotgun sequence.